CGCAUCUGUGCAUGCAGCAUAUCAAUAAGCGGAGGAAAAGAAACUAACAAGGAUUCCCCUAGUAACGGCGAGUGAAGCGGGAAGAGCUCAAAUUUGAAAUCUUAAAGGGUUUCCCUUUACGAAUUGUAGUUUAAAGAAGUGUUUUCUGUUGAGGUUUUGGUAAAAGUUCUUUGGAAUAGGACAUCAUAGAGGGUGAGAAUCCCGUAUUUGACCUUUACUUUCAACUUUGUGAUACACUUUCAAAGAGUCGGAUUGUUUGGGAAUGCAGUCCAAAAUGGGUGGUAAAUUUCAUCUAAAGCUAAAUAUUGGCGAGAGACCGAUAGCGAACAAGUACCGUGAGGGAAAGAUGAAAAGAACUUUGAAAAGAGAGUUAAACAGUACGUGAAAUUGUCAAAAGGGAAGCGUUUGACACCAGUGUUGUUUUUCUGAAAAUCAAUUAAAGAACUGUUUAUGCUAAGCUGUUUAGGACUUUAUCAGCUAAUCUGUUUAGUUUUGAGCUUUUCUUUAAUGCACUUUUCAGUUAACAAGUCAACAUCAAUUUCUUUUGCUGUAAAAAAGCUUGAGGAAGGUGGCUUGAGAUUCGUCUUAAGUGUUUAUAGCCUCUUGCCUAUGCAGUCGGAGAGAUUGAGGUCUGCAGCGUAGAUCCUUCGGGGUUAAAUGCAUUUGUGCUAAGUUAUAGCAUUUUAUAGACAACUUGUUGACUAUGAUUUGUCUUGUAGCUUACUCGCUUAUGUUAUUUUACCUACGCUUAGGAUGUUGACAGCAGUAUAGACUGU
rnacentral:rRNA from 1 species